rnacentral:siRNA from 1 species
CUCGUAAAAUUAUCUUCUUUCACGAGCAUCGCAAGAGAUAACGAAACACUUUUAGUUUAAGCUCAGAAGGAAUAGCUAAAGAAAGAGAAGGUGGGAGAUUUGAACUGCGUAAAAAGUACGGAACAGAAGAUGACUCGAGCAAUAACUUGAGAAAAGCCUUGCAAGGUCAAGAAAAAGAGCAAAAAGGAAGUAUGGAAAAGAAAAAAAAUAAAAUUACAAGCUCAAUUAGGAUAGCACCAACAGAGACCUACAAUCGUUCAAGCCUCGAAAAACCAUUCUUCUUGCAACUCGUCAACAAAUUACAUGAAUACUUGUCUCGUUCGUAAUUAUAAGAAAGUGGAUAAAUAAUAAUAUUUACUAGAAAUGUGUAAGAUAAUAGAAAAUUAUAAUACAUGAUUUUAUUUUAUUGAAAAGACUAUAA